ACACACACACACACACACACACACAGUUGCAUUGCACAGGAGGGAGGCAGAGGUCUCUACAGAUUAUGAAUAUCCAUCUCAAUGUUCAACUUCCCCAACACAGGACAAAAUCACCAACAUCUUCAAUGGGAGAAAAUCCUUUAUCGGCUGAUUCAUUUCCAUGUUUUGUUUCUGCAGGAGACGGGAUAUCCUAGAGGAUUUCAGAAUCUCAACAGAAAUGUCAGCAGCAUCAGCAACAGAGUAAAGGUGCUUGAUAGCAAGACAGCAAAAGAAAUCGUGGAUGUCGGUUCAGCACCGUGAUGCUCGUACCGUCCACUGGAGCAGUUUGAAGAAAGACUUUCAUUAACAUACUUACACAGCAGUUGGCAUGCUUCCGGUGGCACAAUCAGGAUUCAAGGCAGAGCGCUUAAUGCCAAAGGGUAUUUCAUUGACACUCUCAGCACCAGAAUCUUCAAGGACUUCACCCCAGGCACAACGAUACUGAAGCAAAUGAACGUUUAGAGUGUUCUGAUAAAGAACGAUGGGUUUUUGUUGUUGUUGUUGUUUUGUUUUGUGUUUUUGUUUUGUUUUGUUUUUCCUUUUAAAUUAAACUCUCCAACUCAACUGCC